GUCCCUGAAGCGCCGAGCCUCGCCAGCCAGGGACGUCACCCGGAAACCCGGAUCGCGCGAGGACGGGGGACCCAUGUGUGCCGGCGCUUCGCCGGCUGGGGGUGAAGUCGCCACCGCGACAGGGCCAACCUGACGGCCCCAACCCGACAGCUAACCCCGCAGGCGCUCGUCAGGAAGGGAU
rnacentral:sRNA from 2 species